UCACAGCGAAAAUCCCUCCUGACAGAAAACUCGGACAUCACCUGAAAAGCCAAACCAAAACCAGACGUCUGUGAUCGAAACCACUGUGAAGAGUUCAGUUUCUAUGUUUAUUAUCUAGCUAAUAUCUGAUGGUGAAACGCUGUGCGUGGGGUACCUGUAAUUUCGGACACCAGGUACCCUGAAAGACUGGAUGGAGGAGUAUAUUUCGUACCUUUUCCGAAGCCCAAAAGAAAACUCGAGAAAUGCAAGCGGUGGAUUAUGCUGUGUCGUCAACCACAUCACAACUGAAUGUGAAGACAAUUAUCAAGGACACUUAUGUUUGCUCAAAGCACUUCAGAGAUGGGAAGCCAACUCUGGAAUAUCAGAUCUCAUCCGGGCUCUCGUGUGUGCUGCUCCGAAAAGACACAGACCCUCACCCAAAAGAAGCUAUGGACCAGGCGCGCCGGAUUCAUUUUAGAAGUGGGGGG